rnacentral:lncRNA from 1 species
AAGUUUGAAGAUGUGGGAUCCCAAAUGCCCGAUUUAUCUCAAAGUUCAGAUACCGGUCCUUCUCCAUUCCAAAUUUCAGAAAGAGCCAUUUCAACCCCCGAAAAGCAUGCUCAAUCCAACCUCUUCCAAGAAGAAACUCCGGUAAAAAAAUCUCCAAGUAGGUAAUCAACUCCAUUUAGUAGCCUUUUCUGACAACAUUCACUUGUAUCCAUCAUCAAAAAAAAUGACAAUAAACAUUUACAUGAUUCCAAUCUACUUUCAGCCCAUCAUCACCUAUGACCUCUCAUGUCCUCCGUUUGUAGCUAUUUCCAACACUGCCCAAAAAAAAAAAAACCAUACAAGAUUAUCUACCUUUAACUAAUACUAAACCAUUUGUUUUCUUUGCUAUUUGGCAUUAUGCUUCGUCUGUUGCCUUGGCAUUUUUCUCGCCUAGCUCAGUCCAUCACGUGCAAAGCUUCUUCCUCCCCAUUAUUCAAAUUUGGUAGACGCCGCACCCAUGUGAUCCAUCCCGGUAUCGCGACUCCAAGGUCUCUUUUUUAAGAUAAAAAUACAAUAAAUAAAUAAAUAAAAUAAAUGAAAGGUCCAUCCUCGUUGGCAGGGGAUCCUGCC